rnacentral:misc_RNA from 1 species
CGAAAGGAGUACUCGUACUCUUAAACCCUUUGUGAACAUACCUUUAUCUGUUGCUUUGGCGGGAGGCCCCUGGGAGGGGCCCCGGGGCCCGGCCUGAGCCGGGCUCCCGCCGGGGGAGCGCAACCAAAACUCUUGCUGUAACCCAGUGGCACGUCCGAGUAAAAACAAAAAAAACAAGUUA